GCUCUUGUUUAUGUGGAAGCGGACGCAGAGCAGCAUGUGCGCAUGCGCGGGUGGAAGCGGACGCAGAGCAGCAUGUGCGCAUGCGCGGGUCUAACAGCCAGUCAGUGAACGAGUUGGCCACAUGUUGGUCAUGUGAUAUUCAGGGUUCAAAAAAAAUAAAACAAAAUAAACAUAAAUAAUAAUAAUACACAUAGAUAGAUAGAUAGAUAGAUAGAUAGAUAGAGAGUUUUAUAUUAUUAUUACAUUUUUAAUAAAUGUAUUAUUAUUAUUAUUAUUAUUAUUAUUUAAUUAGAUUAGCUGACAUUGGCGUUUCCUGAUUUAUAAAACUAUUUAAUUUAAAAUGGUUCAUGAAAGAUCUCUGAUCGCUUAAAAUAAUGUAAUGAAAGAACAACAAAAUGCAUUUGUCCAUCUCAGAAUUGUAUUUUUUUUUCUUAAAAAAAGACUGACAUCAGUAAAAACAAUUUAGACUAUUCACAUGCAUCUUAUCUUUUUUGUAUUAAAAGGGCUUUAAACUACCACUUUAAAUGUGGUUCGACUGCCUGACUAAUAUUUCGUUUUAUGAGGAUCAUUUAGACACUGAACUUUAUUGCAUUAAACCAUAAAUAUGACGCUGAAACUGUCCUACCAAGACUGACUUAAGACAUAUGUUGAAAUCUGCUUUUUAGCUCGUCUUGUUUUGGAUUUCUAUUAAAUUUAUUUAAUGUUAAUGGAAAUACACAUAUAGAUGAACCAAGACAUGAACAGUAAUAAAAAAAAAAAAAUAAAAAAAUAAAAAGUUAAACGUUAAAAAAAAAAAAAAGGUUUUUCAUCCAAAGAGAAGCAGUUCAGGCGGUGACCAGCAGAUGGCGACUCACAGCUAAAGUUUUUCGACUCGCACACGCACGUGUUAUACCAUGUCCUUGCUUUUACCAAAAGGAAAAUAUUUCCAGUGGACAGAUCCAAAUACUUGGUCUGUUUGAGUGAACUAUGUCUGUAGGAGGGGCAGUAAGGCACAUAAAUGGUGGAUAUGAAGCAUCCUUCAAACGUACCACACACGCUGGACCACACAACAUCAACUACAUUUUACAGCAGUCAUCCAGUGGCACCAGUGUAGGCUACACUUGGCAGAAGAACACAGAGCAGCGGUAACCAGCACAAAACGAGACCAGAAUCAGCCAGGUUCUGCCCAUUACAGCUCAAUAAAUGAAGACUGGAUAAACAAUGGGGGGAAGGUUUGUCUCGAGCAGAAAAACCUCAUCAAGUCUGAUGUUGUAAAAAAGUCUGGAGAUGCAGAUUAAAGAUCCAUUCACAGCAAUAACCUUUUCUUUUUAAUUCUUUGUUAUGUCUGAUGGACCAAAAAUGUAGGUUACAAUGAGGCACCAAUAAAAACAGCAGUGAAUGGGGGCCAAUUAAACAAAUUUUCAAUAGUAUAGUCACAAGACAUUUAUCAGUACUAACAUAAUUUUAGCAUGAAAAAACUUUUCUGUGUAAC
rnacentral:lncRNA from 1 species